GGCCAAGUGGUGAAAGACUUCAUUCGAACAAGAGAAGCAAGUGCUGGUGAAAAGAUGAACCAAGGACCUUUGGAAAUGCUAAGAUGCCUCACAAGUUACUUCAAGGAAGCAACUGUCCUGUUGGUUGCAGACAAGGAUGGCCAGAAAGAACUACCCAGCACUCCUUGCAUCAUUGUCAUUGGGUCUCCUGGGGAUCAACACUGAACGUGGCUCAAAAGCUGAAUCGAAGUGCAAGAAGCACUUCAAAAUCAAUCCUAAGCUUCUGAAAUUCCUGAAGGACCUCAGUGACUUUCAGAAUCCAUUCAAAAUUUAAAUGGACAAGGUAAGCACCAUGCAGAUUUUUCUGUUAUAAUGCUAUGUUUAAGCUGAUGCUUAACUGCUUAUAGGAUGGCAGAACUAAGCUGAAACAGUAUUAAUGUAAUACAAAUAAAACGUUAAGCAACAAUAUUUAACUUUA